UACGUAGGGGCCGAGCGUUGUCCGGAGUUAUUGGGCGUAAAGGGCGUGCAGGCGGUUUGUUAAGUGCAGGGUGAAAGCUCCCGGCUCAACUGGGAGAGGUCCUUGCAUACUGGCAAACUCGAGGGAGGCAGAGGAAAGUGGAAUUCCCGGUGUAGUGGUGAUAUGCGUAGAUAUCGGGAGGAACACCUGUGGCGAAGGCGGCUUUCUGGGCCUUACCUGACGCUGAGACGCGAAAGCGUGGGGAGCGAACCGG
rnacentral:rRNA from 1 species